UUGCAGUAAUAUCUAUACUCUAUAAAUAUAAUCAUUAAUUCACGAUGGUUUGGUAAUUAGUAUUUAUGUUACGGUAAAUGUGAAAAUUAUGAAUAGUUACCGGUUAUUAUGAAUAAUUACCUUGUAAUUUGGUAAAUGUGAUUAAUAUGAGUCACUUUUAAAAACUGAAUAGUCGGCCAAAUUAUAUUCAAUUAUGAUAUCAAAACGUUCAAAAUGUGUGGCUGUACAUGAGCGCUGUACACGAACCAGUGUUCUCUUUAUGAUAUUUAUUGUUAGUACUACUAAGGUGACAUUAUUAAAUAAUCACUGGUAAAUGUGAUUAAUUUAUUACUCUUACUGUCGGUAAUUAUUAAUAAUUUUCAAUUUAUCACAUUUACCGUAACAUUUAUAUGACCUUAUCGAAAGUUUUCUUACUAUUUGACAAACGUGCUUGCCCAUUGCCCAUGUUUGAAAUUCUGUAACAUAAGUUGGAGUCAUUUGAGAUUGUGUUUCUAAUUUACUUUAAAAAAAAAGUGAUUAACCACGCGGAAUUUUAGCGCGGAGACAACACAGAACCAUGUUAGUUACAUCGACAUGGAUUUCUUUGUACUUUGUGUGGACUGUGGUGGAACGAGAGACGUACCACCUACCACUCAAAUCCUUUUUCAAAUCAAGUUUAAGUUGUAGAAUUAGCGUUUAGCGGCCACCCGCGACUUCGUACACGUGGAUCCCGCUUUAUCCCCUUAGGGGUGGAGUUGCGUAAAAUCCUUUCUUAGGCGAACUGAAACUGUAAGGACAGCAAUGACAGCAUGCCAAGAGUCUGGUUUAUCCCUUGAACCUAUAUUAUAAAGAUUAUUAUGUCAGUCCAGAAGCUAUU